rnacentral:rRNA from 1 species
AGUGAACGCUGGCGGUAGGCCUAACACAUGCAAGUCGAACGGAUGCAGAGUAAGAGCUUCUGGUUACGGGGGGGGAGGGGCGGAUGGGGGAGGAAAAUAUCGGUGUCAAUUGUGUAUAGCGGGCGAACGCGGGGAAUCAUACGCCAUUCGCGCUGACGAAGUACGGGGGAAAGCUUCGGACCUCCGGCCCUCGCGUGAUCGUAUGACCGGAUGUCGGAUUAGCUAGUUGGUGGGGUAAAGGCGUACCAAGGCGACGAUCCGUAACUGGUCUGAGAGGAUGAUCAGUCACACUGGAACUGAGACACGGUCCAGACUCCUACGGGAGGCAGCAGUGGGGAAUAUUGGACAAUGGGCGAAAGCCUGAUCCAGCCAUGCCGCGUGUGUGAAGAAGGUCUUCGGAUUGUAAAGCACUUUAAGUUGGGAGGAAGGGCAGUAAGUUAAUACCUUGCUGUUUUGACGUUACCAACAGAAUAAGCACCGGCUAACUUCGUG